AGGCCAGUAGCUCAAUUUGGUAGAGUAGCAGACUCCAAAUCUGUUGGUUGGGGGUUCGAGUCCCUCCUGGCCUGCCA
rnacentral:tRNA from 1 species